GGGUCAGUAGGUUGGUCGUGCCACCGGUACGUACUGGUCUCACUGAUUCCUCCUUCCUGAAGAACCGUAAUGCCAUUAAUUUGGUGUUGCGGGGAAACAGGACUGUUACUUUGAAAAAAUUAGAGUGUUUAAAGCAAGCUAACGCUUGAAUACAUUAGCAUGGAAUAAUGAAAUAGGACGAUCGAUCCUCUUUUGUUGGUUUCUAGGAUUGACGUA
rnacentral:rRNA from 1 species